rnacentral:misc_RNA from 1 species
GAAUUGCGAAAAGUAAUGCGACUUGCAUAAAUCGUGAACCAUCGAAUCUUUGAACGCACACUGCGCCUUUUGGUACCCCAAAAGGCCUGCCUGUCUGAGCAUCGUCUUCCAUCCGCUUGCCCGCCGCCGCGCCCAGCGCGCGGCCGGGCAGAGGUGGGCUUCCGGGCCCGGCCCGGUGGCCUGAAAGGCACGCAGCGCGCGGCGCGCCGCGCAGCAGUGCGGCGGCUCGGCCCACGGUGAUGUGAUCGGACCGCACGGUUCGUCCCAGCGCCGCGGCCGGCCGCGGCACGCGCGGCACGCGCACGCGCGCGAUCGCACGAGCGGCGGCGCGGCCCCCCACGGGCGGCCCGCCCGCGCACCACACCGAUCUCAGAUCAGGCAGGAGUACCCGCUGAACUUA